rnacentral:rRNA from 1 species
ACCAGACUCCUACGGGAGGCAGCAGUGGGGGAUAUUGCACAAUGGGGGGAACCCUGAUGCAGCGACGCCGCGUGGGUGAAGAAGCGCCUCGGCGCGUAAAGCCCUGUCAGCAGGGAAGAAAAUGACGGUACCUGAAGAAGAAGCCCCGGCUAACUACGUGCCAGCAGCCGCGGUAAUACGUAGGGGGCGAGCGUUAUCCGGAUUCACUGGGUGUAAAGGGAGCGUAGACGGCCAAGCAAGCCAGGGGUGAAAGCCCGGGGCCCAACCCCGGGACUGCCCUUGGAACUGCACGGCUGGAGUGCGGGAGGGGCAGGCGGAAUUCCUGGUGUAGCGGUGAAAUGCGUAGAUAUCAGGAGGAACACCAGUGGCGAAGGCGGCUUUCUGGACUGAAACUGACGCUGAGGCACGAAAGCGUGGGGAGCGAACAGGAUUAGAUACCCGAGUAU